rnacentral:rRNA from 1 species
GACGAACGCUGGCGGCGUGCUUAAUACAUGCAAGUCGAGCGAGGUUAUUUUUUCAAAGUCCUUCGGGGUGGCGAAAUUUUAACCUAGCGGCGGACGGGUGAGUAACGCGUGGGCAACCUGCCCUAAAGCCCGGGAUAACAGUGGGAAACUACUGCUAACACCGGAUGGUCUCAUUUUGUGGCAUCAUAAGAUGAGUAAAGGUUACGCUUUAGGAUGGGCCCGCGUCCCAUUAGCUAGUUGGUGAGGUAACUGCUCACCAAGGCGACGAUGGGUAGCCGGCCUGAGAGGGUGGACGGCCACACUGGGACUGAGACACGGCCCAGACUCCUACGGGAGGCGGCAGUAGGGAAUAUUGCGCAAUGGAGGGAACUCUGACGCAGCGACGCCGCGUGAGCGAUGAAGGUCUUCGGAUCGUAAAGCUCUGUCCUCAGGGAAGAAGGUUAUUAACUUGACGGUACCUGAGGAGGAAGCCCCGGCUAACUACGUG